rnacentral:rRNA from 1 species
UACGUAGGGGGCUAGCGUUGUCCGGAAUCAUUGGGCGUAAAGCGCGCGUAGGCGGCCAGAUAAGUCCGGUGUGAAAGUCACAGGCUCAACCUGUGAAUGCCCGCUGGAAACUGUCUGGCUAGAGUCCGGAAGGGGGCGAGUGGAAUUCCUGGUGUAGCGGUGAAAUGCGCAGAUAUCAGGAGGAACACCAAUGGCGAAGGCAGCUCGCUGGAACGGUACUGACGCUGAGGCGCGAAAGCGUGGGGAGCGAACAGG